UUGACCUCGGAUCAGGUAGGAAUACCCGCUGAACUUAAGCAUAUCAAUAAGCGGAGGCCGCA
rnacentral:rRNA from 1 species